rnacentral:lncRNA from 1 species
UUAAAGAUUUACAUUUGUCAGUUGAAGUUCAGUAAUUUGGUAUAUGACAAGGGCUCCAAAUUUCUCAGCAGAAUAAGCAAAAUUCAAGCAUGAAGAGACUUUGCUUAUGGUUCUGGGGUGAGGUGAAAAAGCAAAAUGGGAUCAGAGCCACCAGGUGCCAGGAUUUUGGGAGAAAGUGCAGCCAAGCCCGGGGCAGCUGUGAAAGAAGACCUGCUAUUUACACCCCUGCAGCCAACAGGUUUUACAUCAUCAUCCUGUGGGCUGACAGAAAACAGGCAGUGGAGGCCAGCUGUGACCUGGGAAGCUGUCAAGGCACUUCUGUUCAAUCGCCUGGACAUAACACUUAAGUGGUAAGUGGCAGGAUCUCUCCUGUCUGGAAGCACAUAGCUCUUAAUAAGGCUAGGGCCAUAUUUUAGACCUUGAAAGCAAUUUCCAGUAGUGUGAUCUGAAACCCAGCAAAAUUAUUAAGCACCUUGCUCUAAGACAUGAAAAAGUGGCAGAGAUAGAGAAAGGAGGACAUCACCUACAUGCCUUCAGUCAGGAGCUGCAGUAAGGUCAUGGUGUGGACACAUCUCUCUAGCACUCCUAGGACAUGCAGAAAGACACCAAAUCUAGCUCAAACUGUUGAAGAUAAUUUCAACAGGCAGAAGGCAGUCAUGUGGGCUAGAAAACAUCCAAGAUGAUGAUUAGCACUGUACAAAAAAGGCACCAGGGAUCAGUAAUGAUGAGGGCAAUCUAAUGAGCUGUUGCUGGUCUUGGAGCACAGGGUGCUGUGUCUCCCACCAUGCUGAGCAGUUCUGCCAUUUGUCCUUUGCACAAUGACCAGCUGCAGAGCUGAGCAGAAGUAGUGACAGCCCCUGGCAUCUUUCCCUUCUGGUUUUCGGCCUUUCUUUAGCAGGAGGAAGUUUCAGGUACUUGGCAAGGCCAGGGAGAUGGUUUACCUUCAGCUGGCUGGACUGCUGUUGCUAUCAAGUAUUUCCAAGAAAGUGAAGCUUACAGCUUCUGUUGCUGUUUCAAAAUAAGAUAUGGUUCUGGGUUUUGUCACUGGUAUUUCAAAAGAGAAUCUUACAAUAGAUUUUAUAUGAAUGGAUGUAUUCUUUAUAGCUCUACAGUUUAUUUGGGCUGUUCAAAAUGCCAUCUUUUUUCUAGGCAGCAUUUCCUCAUUACCAUCUCUUCAGACUUCACCUGAUUUCUUUCUGCUCCUCAGCUCUGCCCUCAGGAUAACUUCCUUUUGUUUUUUCACCAGAAUUCUAUCAGCUUUCAGUUUUACUUUAUGACCUUCUCUUUUGAUUCUUUCUCUCAGCUAACCAAACUGAACAACCAACAUCGUAAAUAUUUGUGACUUUGGUGAUACUAUAUAAUGUAAAAAGGAGGGAGGUACAGGAAGGAAGUACAUAUUUUUAGAACAAUAAAGAAAAUGUUCUGAAAGUACCUGAAGACA